CUUCUUCCACCUGCUGCGGACAAAUGUAGUGAAUGUGGGCGUCGAUGCCGCCAGCGGUAAGGAUUUUACCCUCACCGGCAAUAAUUUCCGUACCCGGACCAAUCAGAAUAUCCACGCCGUCCUGCACGUCAGGGUUACCGGCUUUACCGAUGGCAGCAAUACGGCCGUUGUUCACCGCCACGUCAGCUUUCACGAUGCCCCAGUAAUCGAGAAUUAAGGCGUUGGUGAUCACUAAGUCUGGGGUUUCUUCACAGCUGAACUGGCCCUGCCCCAUGCCGUCACG
rnacentral:sRNA from 1 species